GACGUGGGGGGCCAGCGUUGCUCGGAAUUACUGGGGGUAAAGGGUUCGUAGGCGGUGUGGCAAGUCGGGAGUGAAAUCUCUGGGCUUAACCCAGAGACUGCUUCCGAAACUGCUGUGCUUGAGUGUGGGAGAGGCGCGUGGAAUUGCAGGUGUAGCGGUGAAAUGCGUAGAUAUCUGCAGGAACACCCGUGGCGAAAGCGGCGCGCUGGACCACUACUGACGCUGAGGAACGAAAGCUAGGGGAGCAAACAGG
rnacentral:rRNA from 1 species